GACGUAGGGGCCGAGCGUUGUCCGGAGUUACUGGGCGUAAAGGGCGCGUAGGCGGCGCAACAAGUCACUUGUGAAAUCUCCGGGCUUAACUCGGAACGGUCAAGUGAUACUGUUGUGCUAGAGUGCGGAAGGGGCAACUGGAAUUCUCGGUGUAGCGGUGAAAUGCGUAGAUAUCGAGAGGAACACCUGCGGCGAAAGGCGGGUUGCUGGGCCGACACUGACGCUGAUGCGCGAAAGCCAGGGGAGCGAACGGG
rnacentral:rRNA from 1 species